rnacentral:rRNA from 1 species
AUGAGGAGACACAAGUAUGUUAGACAAAGAUAUAGGCAUGGAAUUAGAAGGAAAAGAAGUGUGCCUGGCGUGUGUGAUGGGAAGUGUGGAACCGUCGCCGACAAUGAUGCGGCUGUCGGCGGUGACGGGAGUGAAGGAGGCAAGAUUACCAGGAUGAGCAAACAUGUGAGCCGUGGCCCCGGUGUCCAUGUACCAAUCACCGCCGCCGGUGUAGUUGUUCGGCGUAGGGGCGGUGUGCAGCGUGGCAAGGAGUGUCGGUCCCAAGGCGCCGGCAGCAGGGCCGGCGAGGGAGGCGGCGGCACGGGGUAG